rnacentral:rRNA from 1 species
AGGGGAUCUUCGGACCUUUCGCUAAGAGAUGAGCCUGCGUUAGAUUAGCUAGUUGGUAGGGUAAAGGCCUACCAAGGCGACGAUCUAUAGCUGGUCUGAGAGGACGAUCAGCCACACUGGGACUGAGACACGGCCCAGACUCCUACGGGAGGCAGCAGUGGGGAAUAUUGGACAAUGGGCGAAAGCCUGAUCCAGCAAUACCGCGUGUGUGAAGAAGGCCUUAGGGUUGUAAAGCACUUUCAAUUGGGAGGAAAACCUGUCGGUCAAUACCCGGCAGCUUGACAUUACCUUUAGAAGAAGCACCGGCUAACUCCGUGCCAGCAGCCGCGGUAAUACGGAGGGUGCGAGCGUUAAUCGGAAUUACUGGGCGUAAAGCGUGCGUAGGCGGUUCGUUAAGUCAGAUGUGAAAGCCCUGGGCUCAACCUGGGAACUGCAUUUGAAACUGGCGGACUAGAGUUUAGUAGAGGGGAGUGGAAUUUCAGGUGUAGCGGUGAAAUGCGUAGAUAUCUGAAGGAACACCAGUGGCGAAGGCGACUCCCUGGACUAGAACUGACGCUGAGGUACGAAAGCGUGGGUAGCAAACAGGAUUAGAUACCCUGGUAGUCCACGCCGUAAACGAUGUCGACUAGC